GAGAGAGCGCUAGAGAGGAGGAAGUUCGAUUGCCUUUUAUGACAUAGCCUCAGGAGUCACACAGUGUCGUUCUGCUGUAUUUUCCUGAUGAGAAUUGAGUUGCUAAGGGUCACCCAUAUGCAAAGGAAGGGGAAUUGUUUUCCGCCGUUUGAUGUGAGGAAUGUCAGAGAACUUGCACCCGGUUUUCCCUACUGUGGCCUUCAUUAUUCCCCUCCUCCCUGUGCCUAGCACAGAGCCUUGAACAAAAUAUUAGCCAAAAUUGUCAGUUGAGUUGAAUUGCCUUUUGGUUUGGCAUAGACCUGGGUCUGGAGGAUAGCUUGGUGUGAACCCACUUUCUUCUACUUAUGUCAUUCAGAAACACAAAACUCUCAGAGAAGUAAUUGAUUUUGUGUCUCUGGCCGUCCACAGCUUGGGAUUUGGGUAGGUCAAGGUAACUGUCUGUACUCUGUCCCCAGUGUCCCUGCCAAGCUUUCCCCCAGUGCUCCGUAACCUGGGGUCCUGUGGUUCAAUCAGACAGGCGCCUGCACCGUCUCACGGUGGGGACAGCCCCGUUCUACCUCCUGGCCUUUGCUCAGUUGGUUCUCCCGGCCUGGGAUGUCCUCUCCUCUUCUUUCCACUUCCCAAGUGCUCUCCAGCCUUCACGACCCACCUCGAGGAGCUUUCUCUCUCGGCCUUUCCCUCUCACCCCCAGCAACCCCUUCCCCACCAUCGCCUCAGAAGAGAAGAGACUGGCAGACUUGUAUCUCCAAAGCUGCAGCCCCGAGCCCUUAGGGAGCCCAGGGCAGCAAACAGUUGCCCUGGCACCAGGCGGGGGCAGUGGCUGAGCGAGGAAAGCUGGCGGCCAGCUGGACUGCAGGAAGGACCACAGCCAGCCGGUCUAGCCGAAGGGGGCAGCUCGUGCUUCAGUUGCCAUCGGGGGAAUUAAAGGAUACCUCAUCUCUUCUUUCCAGGGAAGCAGAAAGGACCUCAGAUGAAAACCUCUCCCGCUCUCCUGCUGGGGAAUCCUUUCCUAAAAAGGCAGAGACUAAGAGUCCUCAGGAGUGAAGAGAGGGCAGAAAUCCAUCAGACACUGACGAAGGCGCAGGGCAGCCGGGACAGCUGGCUGAUUGAAACAUCCCUGAGUUCUUUCAUCUGAGCAUCGCACACCAGCAAGUAAUUCUAGCCAGAGAAGGUGGAGCUCAAACCCAAGUGUGAAUUCUGGCUGUGGGACUUUUGGCAAGUCACUUAACCUCUCUGAAUCUCUGUUUGCUCAUGGAAACUGUAAAAUGGGGAAUAUCAUACCCUACUUUUGUGUUAUAAUCAAAUAAGAUAAAAUGAGCAAAGUGUUUAGAACAGCCUUGAGCUCAACUGGUGCUUAAUCAAGUCUGUUCUCUUUCCAUUCCCUCUUAAUUAUCCACUGAGCCUCUUUUUUCAUUUUGCAACCAGUCUCAAACUUGCUUCUUUGCCAGGUAUGCAUUAUUGCAAGAAGCAAGGCAUUUAAAAUCAAAACAUGGUUAUAAUAAAGGCAGGCAAUUAUCACUCUGGGGGAUUCAGCAAAGGGAGACUCCUUUCCCAUGGCUGCUUUUUCACGUUCGGGUCUUCCAAACCAAUUUUUCUGCAAGAGGGUCUUCUCCGGUGAAUUGAGAAACCACCUACUCCCCCAAAGAGCCAAUCUAGGCAAUGAGAUGCUACCAAGUCGGAGAUGCAGCCCAGCCAGCAUCCUGGCCUUGGUCCUUGGAUCCAGGAUCCCAGAUUUCCCAGCCAGUCACCUGUUGCCAUCACAGUUUGGGGAGGCAUGUUUGCAGGUUUUGCUGUGGAGUCUGGGCCCCCAAGGCACACAGAAGCCUUGUAAGGCAGGCUCCACAUGCCCCACUCAAGCCCAGCCCCUUAUGAACACGCACCACAGAUCAGAUCAUGUAUUCCCUCUCCCGGAAUAAAACGCCCUCCGUAGCCACCCCGAGAACUCACCUGCGGCAGAUUAAGAUCCACUUCCUAUAUCUCUCUCUUCGGAAGGCCUCCCCUCAAGCAAAAGUGCCUUUCUCCUCCGGGGCCACAGUCACGUGGUGCCCGGGACACGCCUCCUUCCCAGACGCUCUCGCUGAGCAUCAGCAUCCCGAUAACGUGGGUGCGCCGCCUUCCCUGCCCGCCCUCCGCUGUGGACGCGGCCGCUUCUCCACCUCCCACCGUCCUCAUUCCUAGCAGAGCGCUUGGCACAGAGAAUGCUUGGUGGACAGCUGUUGACCUGAAUCAAACUGGCAAACGGCAAGACUUAAGCUUCUUCCAACACUGAUAUUCUAUGAUUAAUUUUUAAAAGUGUCUACCCAGUUAAGUUCAUUUUCAGAAUCUAAUUAAAUCCAGCAUAUAUAUUAUGGAGUAGAAAAUUUCACAUUACAACUGAAAUGUACAUAAAAAUGCUGCUUAAAUUUUUUUCUCUAAAUGACCCAUCCUACUUUGAACCUUCAUUGCUUUUUUUCUUCUUUUUUCUUUUUUCUUUUUUUGGAGGAAGAUUAGCCCUGAGCUAUCACCUGCCACCAAUCUUCCUCUUUUUGCUGAGGAAGACUGGCCCUGAGCUAACAUCCAUGCCCAUCUUCCUCUAUUUUAUGUGGGACGCCUGCCACAGCAUGGCUUGCCAAGUGGUGCAUAUGUCCGCACCCAGGAUCCGAACCGGUGAAUUCUGGGCUACUGGAGCAGAAUGUGCGAACUUAACUGCUGCGCCACCGGGCUGGCCCCAGAACCUUCAUUGCUUUUUACUUAAAAUUGCCUUUAAAAUUAACAGUCUCUGGAAUAGGAAAAGAUUUCUUCUGUAUAACACAAAAAGCACUAACCAUAAGGGGAACAUUUAAUAAACUGGACUACAUCAGAAUUAAGAACUUCUGAUCAUGAAAAGACAACCUUAAGUGUGGAAGAGAAGUUACAGACUAAGAGAAGAUAUUUGUAAUAAAUAUAUCCAACAGAGGAUUCAAAAACACAGAGACCUCAUAUGCAUCAAGAGAUAAGAUUGACAGCUCAAUAGAAAGUGGGCAAAUGACUUAAGUGGCACUUUGUGAAAGAGAAUAUUCAGACUCCCAAUGAGUUUACAAAAAAGCGGCUUGCCUUAGUCAGCUCGGGCUGCUGGAACAAAAUACCACAGGCUGAGGGGCUUAAACAGUAGAAACUUAUUUCUCACAGUUCUGGAGGCUGGAAGCCCAAGGUCAAGGUGCCAGCCGGAGGAGCUCUUCCUGGCUUUUAGAUGGAUGGCUGCCUCACUGCUGUCUCCUCACACUGCAGAGGAGGAGGAGAGGGGAGAGAAAGAGCAGAGAGCUCUCUGGAGUCUCUUCUCAGAAGGACACUGAUCCUCUUGGAUCUAGGCCCCAUCCUUAUGAGCUCAUUUAACCCUAAUUACCUCCUUAUAGGCCCUCUCUCCAAAUACAGUGUCACUGGGGUUCAGGCUUGAACAUACGCCUCUGGGGGAGAUACAGUUCAGCUCAUUCAAGGCUCAGUAUAACACUAAUGAAAUACUGCUAUACAUCCACCAGAACGGCUAAAGUUAAAAGGCUGACAGUUCCAAGUGUGGGAGAGGAUGUGGGACAAUUGUAACUCUCCUCCAUUGCAGAUGGGAGAGUAAAUUGGGAUAACCAUGCUGGGAAACUGGCAGGAUCUGCUCCAGCUGAACACCUGCAGACCGUACACCCUAGAAAUGCCACUCCUAGGAAUAUAGUGAAUCAAAGUGGAUGCGUGUGUUUUGAAAAAAGUGUGCAAGAAUGUUCCAGGAGACCUAUUGACAAUUGCUGGAAACCAGAAAUGACUCACCUGCCUGUUAAUGAUAGUGACAGUGCUAUGUGCUGUGCUGUGUCCCCUAAAAUCAGUGUGUUGAAGUCCUAACCCGCAGUACCUCAGAAUGUGACUGUAUUUAAAGAUAGGAGCUUUAAAAAGGUGAUCAAGUUAAAAAGAGACUGUGAAGGUGUGCCCUAGACUGAUCUGCCUGGUGUCCUCACAAAAAGAGGAAAUGUGGAUGCGCAGAAAGAUACCUGACGUGUGUGCACAGAGGAAAGACCGCGUGAGGACAAAGUGAGAAGGCGGCGUCUGCAAGCCAAGGAGAUAGGCCUCAGAGGCAACCAAGCCUACUGACUCCUUGAUCUUGAACUUCUGGCCUCCAGAUUCUGUUGUUUAAGCCGGCCAGUCUGCUGUACUUUGUGGCAGGUGGCCCGAGCUGACUCAGACGGGCGUAUUCCCUCCAUGAGAUGCCACACAGCAGAGGGGCUGCACGAGCCGUGAUGGCACACAGCAGCAUGGGGACAUGUCACAAACAGGAUGGCGGGCCACAGGAGGCAGCCACGAAAGAGCACCAAUGGCACGUGUGCGGCUGCACAAAGUCCAAAUCCAGGCAGAGCCAGCCUGUGGUGCUUGAGGCUUUCACUGAAGUCUGGCAAACGUCCAGAAAAGUGCACGACUGACUUGGGGUAACACCUGCAAGGGGCCUGAGGGGCUGCGGGUGCUGGUAAAUUCGGGGUCUUGAUCUGGGUGCUGGCUACACGGGUGUGUUUACUUUAUUAAGAAAAUGCAUCAGAUUGGGCACUUAGGAUUUGUGCCCUUUUCUGAUCCUUUAAUAAAAACUUGACCGAAAACACUUUACAUAAUCAUGUCCUGCAGCCGAUUUAGAGCGCACGCUCCCUAAGGAGGCCCUUGCUCCUCAGCAAGGCGUCUUCCCCAGCCUUUUCCUCUAAAAACUGAGAUCGGUUAGGUGGGCUCUGCAGGGCUAUCCUUCUCUGCCGGCUCCCACUGGUCUGGACUGAGGUAUACUUCAUCUGACCCAACUUUUGUAUUGCCUCUUCUCACUGUGUCCCCUGCUUAAGAGUCUGUGGCUUGUGUCACCCGUGAUUUGUUUUCUCAGCAUGAGCAAUGCAUUAUAACUUCUUCCAGAAUGAUUGGCUCAGCUCUCACCAGCGUGUGGUGUACUUAGGGUGGUGCAGUACACAACCUACACAACAGUCUAUGGCAACCCUGGUCUUCAUCUCAGCUCCCAAGGUUCUGUGAAGUCUGUGGGACCUAGACACACUCUCCAUCCAUCCCCUACCUAACCUUUGCCCUCAGCUGUUGUCAUGGCUGGGGCCUCCUCAUCCUUCUCUACCCCUCACAAAGACUGCAAGGUAGACAUUCCCUGGAUCUCUUGUGGAAUGGGUAGGUGUGGGUGCCAGAGCCAGGUGAGGGGCGGCUGUGAAGUUGGUUCUGGCCUGUGGAGAAAGCCAAGGAGCCAAGAGCAGCAGACACAAGGAAGAGGGAGAGAGAAUUGUGAGCGAGCCUUAGCUCUCGUCUCUCCUGAGGCCUCAACUUCCUGAGCUUUAAUUACUAAGUCCAGCAAAUUCCCCUUUUGGCCCAUGCUGGUUUGAAAUGGGUUUAUGCCCGCAAGAACCAAAAAAUUUCUGACUAAUACGUCCGUUAAAGGUUUUUUCCCCCAAAGAAGCAGACUUCCUUCAAAGGUGAAUUCGAACUCCUGGCUGGAGGAAAGCAGGAAAGUUUGUUCAAGUUUUGAAAGAGUGAGACAAGUCUGCCCCUUUUCACCCAUUCCCCUUCAGGUCCCCUUCUGCUCACCAAGACUGCGAAGAAGCCGGGCUCAGGCUCAGCUUGAGCGCCCUGUCCACGAACACCAGGCUCGAGAAUUUAGAUCUUUGCUCAACGAACAGAUCACGUGAAUGUGACAUAGUAACACCAGGAAAUACGCUCCCUGACCCAGGUGGUAUCCCCUUAGGUGCUGGUUUAUCUUCUGGGGAUGAGGAAGCCCUUCUGGGAACCCCUUUGGGGCUGACAAAAAUUCAGGCAUUGUCGGGAAUGUGGAUUAAGCUGUUCUGAUUGCAGGGGCAGAUCCAUGUUUCGAUAUUUUCCCCAUGGUUACAGCUCGAGAUUUUGAUGAGCUGUCUGAGUGUUUACAGAAGCACGAUGUUUUCAGGAGCAGCUGAGAGAGUCUUUUUGGGAGGCCUGUGUUGAGAAGCCAUUGUGACAUGGGUGUCAUCACAGGAUAUGCCGUGCCGGAUGGACAGAUACAACAGACAUGGGGAGAGGAAGCAAAGUCUCUUUAAUGAUGAGGGGUGUGGAAACGUGUGGAAAUGGUUAGAAAGCAAGAGACGACCCAGCCGGCUUCCAGAGAGAGCCUGGGCCUCGAAGCAGAUGCAAACCUCUCUAAGGAAGAAAGGGGCGGCUACAGCGGGAAUCAAAGACACCAUUUCUCAGCUUUGAGUUUUAAAGUAGUCUUAAAAUUUCAUAGCAAGACAAUGGUCUCGAAAGCCAGACUUUUCAGAGAAAGGUUUUUCUUAAAACUCCGAAGGCUGGAGUUUUCACACAUCAAACAAUCAAAGCUGAGAGAGGUUGAAUGCUCAUUUUGUGAGUCAUAGAGCAGGGCAGAAUGAGGAUAUGACAAAAGGGAAGUUUCUACCCCACAGGAAGGAGAACAGUGAUUUUGAGACUUGGGGAAAGAAUUGAGAAAUGGGGCAAGGAAAUGCAGGCAGGGGUCAGGUGGUGUGCUGGUUCUCACCACCCCUCCCAUUGGGAUCAAACUCCAGGGGUAAGGGAGGACGGGAACAUCCAGGUAGUUUUAGGGCCUCCAAGAACUUCAGGGCUGGUGCCCCCACUUCCCCAGAUGUAGCCUGAGGAGUCUUCACAUCUUUCAGAGGAGCCUUUGGGUCAGCCUGAUACUGCAUCCAACAUGGCGCCCAAGCCAAGGAGUAGAGAUGACUGAGGGAGAUGCUCUGGUGGGUUGGGCCUGAGAUAGCACCCCUGGUUCGUAAUGAUCCAGCAUAUGAUGUGGAGGAGGUCCAGAAGUUCCUGUGUGCCACAGGGGAACCUGAAAAGUAGCUGAGGUGCUAGCUGGUGAGUUCACUAGGACGUCAUCACGGCAAAAGGCAAAGUGACCAGAGCUUCAGGAUGGACUUCUCAAACCAGGGGUCAAAUGGCUUUCCGUGCAGGCCUCAGGGAAGCAGGAGCCUCAGUGAGAGGCAGGUGAGGCCAAGGCAGCCAGGCAGCCUCCAACCCCCAGGCAACAUGUAACUGUGCCGCAAGACCUGAAGACACACAAGCUUCCUCUGCAACCAGCUGCCAUCUUGGAAUGAAGAAGGAGAAGGAAACCCCUUGGGGUGAUGGAGAAACCCAAAGAUGAAGUAAUUACUCAAAAGGAAAUGAUUUUAACCCGAGAGAGUCUGAGAUGCUACAACGGCAAGAACAAGAGUUUUUUGUCUACAGUAGAAAUGAGGUCUCAGGAGAUGAUUGGGAUUUUAUUGAUGGUCAUGUUUUACACAUCCAAGCAAAUUCCACCUUCACAGGAUCCUCAUGACUUCUAUCAUAACAUACGUUAUUUUUUCCAAUUAUGAUGGUAAUAUGAUUUCAUUUUAGAAAAUUUGGGGAACAAGACCAUAGAGAAGAAAACAAAAAUCCCGUCAUCUCAUCAACCAAAGAGAACUACAGUUAACAUCUUUGUUGAUUUCCUUCCAGUCUUUUCUCUAUGUGUACGUGUUUGUGUGUGUAUUACUGUGACUGGACACUUACAUAGCUUGUUGGUUGACAAGAUUCUUUAAUGUCUAAAGCACUUUUGUUUGUGGAAAGGAAUACCCACCACUUUGUGUACUUUGUUUAUUAUCUUUAAAUAAUCACCACUUUAAAUAAUCACCAUUACAAUCACUUCUAAAUAUUCACAGGACUCAUGACCACUAAAUCGAAAAUAUAAGAAGCUAACAAAUUCAGUUUCCCCAAAUGCUUAAACAUUGAUUGAAGUGUGAUCAAUUAAACUUCCCUAAGCAAUUGAUUACCAGUCUCCAAUAUAUAUAGAUUUUCUCAUGUGUUUUAAACGCCUUAAAAUGGAGACAGAACACGCCCACAAUGACAAGGAUUUCUAAACUGGGCAGCGCUUACACUAAAGCUGUUACAGAAGCGCUAAGACCAUGGGUUUACGUCGUAUCUCCAUCAUCUCCUCCUUACUCCUCUGUUGGUUUCUCCCCAGAGGCACGACUGUCUUCCCUUAGCUGAGAGAGCGGGGCUGCCUCGGCACUGGCUGAGGUGGCGUAAAGGGCAACAGGUCAGAGACCGCUCAGAUUAUUGGCUCUGAGUGCUCAGACAGGAUUUGAUUUUUUAUAGUCCUCCUCUUUGCCCCCAAGUGACACUUGCUCUGGGUGUUCUCACUUUGUAGCCCCGCCUGUUAUAAUCCUGCUUUACAAUUGUUCUGGGCAGUGGGGCAACUGACCUGGUUUAGAUAAAAAUUUGCCACACUGAAACGACAGCUUCUCUUUCUCAUUGACUAUUUUGACCUAUAAUAUUG
rnacentral:lncRNA from 1 species